rnacentral:tRNA from 1 species
GCCCGAGUGAUGAAAUCGGUAACCAUAGCGGACUUAAAAUCCGCCGGCGCAAGCCUUACGGGUUCGAGUCCCGUCUCGGGUACCA